GGGGGCGCCUUGGUUUCGACGGGGGCCUUGAAGCGGCCGUAGCGAGCCGGGGGGCCGCGGCCCCGGAACAACGCGGGCACCAAGAAGUGCGAACGAACGCGAACUUGCUCUGGCUGCCUAAUUAGCGCGGUCAGCCUCUGUGUCGUCCGCGCCCGCAGGGCGGCAUAGGGGACAUCUGAGCGGGCUUGGCCACUCUCUUUGCCCUCCGGGGAGGGGCGACACAAAGGAGGGCUGGCGUUCGGGGAUCCCGUCCGGGGGAGACUCGGGCGCGAGAAGAGAACCCGGACUGCGCUCGGAGAAGCGGCCGUGGUGAGGCUUUCGGACGGGGGUUCGAGUCCCCUCGCCUCCACCA
rnacentral:tmRNA from 1 species